rnacentral:rRNA from 1 species
GAUGAACGCUGGCGGCGUGCCUAAUACAUGCAAGUCGAACGCAUAGCGAAAGGUGCUUGCACCUUUCAAGUGAGUGGCGAACGGGUGAGUAACACGUGGACAACCUGCCUCAAGGCUGGGGAUAACAUUUGGAAACAGAUGCUAAUACCGAAUAAAACUUAGUGUCGCAUGACACAAAGUUAAAAGGCGCUUCGGCGUCACCUAGAGAUGGAUCCGCGGUGCAUUAGUUAGUUGGUGGGGUAAAGGCCUACCAAGACAAUGAUGCAUAGCCGAGUUGAGAGACUGAUCGGCCACAUUGAGACUGAGACACGGCCCAAACUCCUACGGGAGGCUGCAGUAGGGAAUCUUCCACAAUGGGCGAAAGCCUGAUGGAGCAACGCCGCGUGUGUGAUGAAGGCUUUCGGGUCGUAAAGCACUGUUGUAUGGGAAGAACAGCUAGAAUAGGAAAUGAUUUUAGUUUGACGGUACCAUACCAGAAAGGGACGGCUAAAUACGUG